UACGUAGGGGGCAAGCGUUGUCCGGAAUCAUUGGGCGUAAAGAGCGCGUAGGCGGCCCUGUAAGUCCGCUGUGAAAGUCAAGGGCUCAACCCUUGAAUGCCGGUGGAUACUGCAGGGCUAGAGUCCGGAAGAGGCGAGUGGAAUUCCUGGUGUAGCGGUGAAAUGCGUGAGAUAUCUGCAGGAACACCCGUGGCGAAAGCGGCGCGCUGGACCACUACUGACGCUGAGGAACGAAAGCUAGGGGAGCAAACAGG
rnacentral:rRNA from 1 species